CUCAAGGCAUGCUGAGACAUUUAUUAACAUUUUUGGAAUUUGGGAAAGUUUCAACAUCUUACAUUGAACAUGGACAUGAAGAUUCUGAUAAUAAUAAUGAUUUUAUGCAAUGUACUUGUAAUGAAUAUAAAAUAUGGUUGUAAGGCAGAUCACUUGAUGCAUGCUGAGACUGGAAUUCACAUUCCUACCACUUGGGAAAGUAUCAACAUCCUACAUUGAACAACGGACUGGAAGAUUCUGAUAAUAAUAAUGGUUUUAUGCAAUAUGGCAGUAUAUUAGUAGAUCACUCAAGGCAUGCUGAGACAUUUAUUAACAUUUUUGGAAUUUGGGAAAGUUUCAACAUCUUACAUUUAACAUGGACAUGAAGAUUCUGAUAAUAAUAAUGAUUUUAUGCAAUGUACUUGUAAUGAAUAUAAAAUAUGGCAGUAUAUUAGUAGAUCACUCAAGGCAUGCUGAGACAUUUAUUAACAUUUUUGGAAUGGUGAAAUCUAAAGUUUAUCGAUAGAGAAUUUUAUGUAGAUUCAAGUGUACCUAAAAAACUAAAAAAAAAGCUAAAAAGCUAAAAAACAAUAGGUACAAAAUUCGCUUUAUCAAUAUUAUCAUAUAUUAUAAAUUAAAAUAAUGAAUUAUUAAUUAGUUUAUUUUUAAACACGGCUUUAGAUGUAAAGCUGUGGUUUUAAAAGGUCACCACUGCUUCGUAUGUCUGAUAAACAAUUGCGGUUAUGUUCAAUUUUUACGUAAAUAAUAAUAUUAUGGAUAUUUUGUAUUGAUGUUUUAAUAAUUUUACUUUUUAGUAUUUACGUUUUCAAAUUUUCAAAUCUUCUAAGUACCUACUUAGUUUUUGUAUAAUUAAUUAAUAAUAUGUUCUUUAUUCUGUAUAGUAUACAAAUUACAGAAAUUAUGUAAUUUACUUAGUUAUAUGGAAUUGUAGUGUCAAAAAAACUUGGAAAAAAAUCAGGGUUUAAAUGGUUUAAAACAAAUAUUUAAAAUCAUUAUCGUAGGAGAGUCCAUGAACCUUUAUUCAAUAGCAGAAGAUCUAACAUGUAAUGAUCUAGUAUUUUUCAAGUAAGCUCGAUGCUCCUAUAUUUAUUACCUACUUCCAUCGACGUGGAACGUUCAUUUUCAGCAUAAAGUGUAUUCUAGCCGAUAAUAGGAGAGCCUUUUAGUUCGAAAACACCUUAUGGUUCAAUACAAUCACAAAGAUAAACAUUUUAUUAACAACAACAAAUUUUUAAUAAAUAUUUAACUACCUAUAUUGGCUAUAUUAUAUAAAUGUGUAUUUUUUUCAGAACA